rnacentral:rRNA from 1 species
GACGAACGCUGGCGGCGUGCUUAACACAUGCAAGUCGAGCGGUAAGGCCCUUUCGGGGGUACACGAGCGGCGAACGGGUGAGUAACACGUGGGUGACCUGCCUCUAGCUCUGGGAUAAGCCUGGGAAGGCUGGGGUCUAAAUACCGGAGUAUGACCUCGCGGUGCAUGUUGCGGGGUGGAAAGCCUUGUGCGGCUAGGGAUGGGCCCGCGGCCUAUCAGCUUGUUGGUGGGGUGANGGCCUACCAAGGCGACGACGGGUAGCCGGCCUGAGAGGGCGACCGGCCACACUGGGACUGAGACACGGCCCAGACUCCUACGGGAGGC